GGGCGGAGAGAGUGUUCAGUGCGCAUGUGUGACAUUAGCAGAAAGCGGUUUUAACAUUGACAUGGAGGAUAAAAACAAAGAAAGAAAGAGAAGAAAGGCUUACGAUAAGAAUGAGAAUAGCCCAGGAGGAGGAGGAGAAGCCCCCAACUGAUGCUAUAUAACUGGCACUGUGGAGAGCUACAGUAGAUCUGAGCAGCCAUAAACUAAAUUGUAUAAAAUGGGACAAGAACAAUCAGCACCACCUCCACGUCCACGUCCACCUUCAUUUUCACGUCCACCUUCAUUUUCACGUCCACCUUCAUUUUCACCUCCACCUUCACCUCCCAAACUUGGUAAGACAAAUUUAAAAAUUAUUUUCAGACAUUCAUACAGAAGUUUCUUGGCAUAAUUGGAGCCAGUGUGAUUCACAGUGACUAAGUGGAAACAAUGUUCAGAAUGGGGAAAAUCUUCCUACUUUCACGUUAUGAGAAUUCAGUUUAAAGCAGAAAUUUCAGUUUAAAGCAACUUUUCUAAUUGUGUGCAUGCAGUAGAACUUUUAACAAAUUACACAGCUAAGUUUUACAGACGUAACAAGAAGGUAAGACAGAAAUUGUGGUCAGAACUCAGAUGUAACUAGAUGUACAAUGUAUUCAGUUUCUCAGGAUUUUUCAGUGUUUACAGGUGUAGGUCUCAGUUAGAUGUGAUUCUGGCCCAUUUCAUUGUCUGACAAACUGAAAUAAACUUGUUGAAUUACUGCUGCACUAUUCUAACAUGAUUGUUUUAUACAAUAGUUAUAAUUCCCAUCAGCACCAACAUUUCACACCGUACUCAGUUUACAUUAAUAUGUGAAUUGAUCACAUUCACUCUGCAUCAUUUAAUAAACUUCUUUAAUUUAGUAAGCAAUUAAC